rnacentral:rRNA from 1 species
GGGGAAUAUUGCACAAUGGGCGCAAGCCUGAUGCAGCCAUGCCGCGUGUAUGAAGAAGGCCUUCGGGUUGUAAAGUACUUUCAGCGGGGAGGAAGGCGGUGAGGUUAAUAACCUCGCCGAUUGACGUUACCCGCAGAAGAAGCACCGGCUAACUCCGUGCCAGCAGCCGCGGUAAUACGGAGGGUGCAAGCGUUAAUCGGAAUUACUGAGCGUAAAGCGCACGCAGGCGGUCUGUUAAGUCAGAUGUGAAAUCCCCGGGCUUAACCUGGGAACUGCAUUUGAAACUGGCAGGCUUGAGUCUCGUAGAGGGGGGUAGAAUUCCAGGUGUAGCGGUGAAAUGCGUAGAGAUCUGGAGGAAUACCGGUGGCGAAGGCGGCCCCCUGGACGAAGACUGACGCUCAGGUGCGAAAGCGUGGGGAGCAAAC